ACUUGCAAUUUUUGCUGCGAUUUUAGGUGCGAUUUUCUUCUUCUGAUGGACGUAAACGAGUGGAAGAAUUAUGAAUUUUGAGAUGAGGGUACAUAUACUCGAAAAUCGCACCUAAAAUCGCAGCAAAAAUUGCAAGU